rnacentral:sRNA from 1 species
UUGACAGCCCAUGAGAUAGGAGUCUUCUACCUACUGAAGUGGCCCAGUGUAGGUGUGAGCAGUGCAAGCUUUUCCAAUGCUCUGCCAGUGUGCCUCAACUCUCACUUGGAGGGACCACAUCUCGAAUGGGAGGAGAGUUCAUUCUCCUCUGGAAUGGGAGGAGAGUUCAUUCUCCAUAUCUAAUCAAUCCUUGGCCUUC